AGUUACCAGGUUUGUGAACUUGUAUCAUUUUGAAUUAAAGUUUUAUAAAACUCCCAAAUGUAAUAACAGAGUAUCAGAGAGAGAAGCCCCUACUUUCUCUAAAAUUUUAUCUAAAAAUGGUAAGUUGGGGCUGGGGAUGUAGCUUAGUGGUAGAGUACUUGUCUAGCAUGCAUGAGGUUCUGGCUUCAAUCACCAGCACUGGAAAAAAAAAUAGGAAAUAAAAUUCUUCUAAAGAGUAACACCAUGAAUUUGUCUCUAUUAGGAAAAAAAAAUCAGGAUUACUUCAAAAACAUCAUUUAUUGGUUGGUAAAAUCUCUGAACUGUAGAGCACACACCAGUGAUAUAAUUGUCUGGAAGUACAUUUCAGAAACUUCAAUGGAUUUUGUCCUUAAAAUUUGGUCACAGAGAAUUGAGGAAAAGUAUGAGUAAAAGAUGGAAAAGGUACUUCAAAACGCUUUAUUGAUAAUAAAUUUAUAUUUAAGUUUAUUUCAGUCCUGGGGAUUUAACCCAGGGCCUUGUUCAUGCUUGGUAAGCACUCUCCCACUGAGCUACAUCCACUGUCCAAUAACAUUUUUAAUUAAUAGUAAAAACUGAUUAAAAAUUCUUUUAAUGCCUGUAAUCUCAACUACUCUGGAGCCUGAGCCAGGAGGAUGACAAGUUUGAGACCAGCCCCAAUAACUUCGCAAUGUCCUAAAUAAUUUAAAAAGAGCUUGUCUUAAAAUAAAAAAUAAAAGGACUUGGGGUGUAGCUUAGUGGCAGAGUGCCCCUGAUUCAAUCCCAGUACCACACACAAAUAAAAAGAAAAAAAGAGUAAAAACGCUUACUUAAUCAACAUAAAACCAUUUGAGAGUAUGUUCUGAAUCGAUGCUUAUAUGUUGAAGAAAAAAUUUAGAUGACAACACACAUAAAUAUAACUAACUUUUCACUUAGCGAAGUGGCUUCAUUCUCUCUGGCUAAUUCCAAUAGCUUGACUAGUUGGUUAUAUUCUCGUUCUUUGACUUCAAGCAAGGUUCUUUUGCCUUCAACUUCCUUCAUUACAUCCUCCUUCUCUUCUACUACAGCACUAAUUUUGUUUUCAAUUUUCUUUAGGGAGUCGUUUAGCUCUCUGACUUCAAGUUCCAAGAUAAUAUUUAUCUUUUCCAUUUCUCUGUAAGUGACACAUACAAGAGUACCUUAUUUCAAGCCCAUGCUCAAAACCUGUCAAAAGAGUUAGUCAUUAAUUCAGUGAUGUCAGAGGUGUGUCCAAGUGCUACCGAAGGCAGAAUAUGCCAGGCUUCCCUACUUCCUCCCAGAUCCCAGAUCCUGUUGUCUCCUCUACUUCUACCCACAUCCUAACUAGCUUCCUGGGACUGACCUGAAUUUCUCAACUUUGGUGCUGGUGAGCUUGGUUUUUGGAACCAUUACUAUUUCAUUUCCCCCUCCUCUUUUAAGAUCAGUCAGCAGAUUUAUCAUAUUAUUUCUCCAUAAUAAUCUUUAUUCUUUUUGGUUCUUUGAAACCCUGAGAAUUUCUUCAACAACCUCUGAAUCCAAAUCUGUUCUGAAUGUCUGAGGGUAUCAUAUCCUCAUGAAGUGAAGAGUUACCAUCAUUUGGGCUGCUGGCUGGAUAACAUAAUUCUAAACCAUGAAAUUCUAACCAGCUUAAAUAAUGUAUCCCUACCUCUGUUAAAGUCAAUUGAAGUUCUCCAUAAAAACUAUUUAUAAAUUGGAAACAGAAUCUUGACCCAUAAAUAAGAAUGAUAGCAAUUUGCUGUACAACUUUCUUUUAAAGAACUUGAUAUAUACAGCCGAGACAGGGCCAAAAGCAGAUAUUUCUAAAUGAUGAUACUAAUUUGAUGUGUCCAGUGAUUAGUUGUCUUGAUUUAGUGUGCUCACAUUACUUGGGGGAUGUUAGGCUGGGAAAGAUUCAAAAUAAAAGCAUUAAUCUUACACUUUUCUGCGUGCCAUUUUUUCAAUCUCUUUUACAAUCUGUACAGGAACAGUUUGAUGGUAGACCAUUUCAUCCUAGUAAAGAAAUUCAAUUAUGUUAUAUCAUGUAGUCUUGGACCAGAAACAAUCAAGACAAGCAAGUGAGAUAGAAAAAGGAACUAUAAUAUGUAGAAUUCUUGCUAUCACACUGAUCUUAUAAGAUAGUAUUUGUUACUGUCUUAAAGAGGGUGUCAAUGAAUGUGACAAAGACUUUUGGAGCUCUGCUCAGAUUCCCUUUAUGGAGGUGCUCUUCCCACACAUGCUGCAGUGGACACCUGCCAAUAGCUCAUGUUAAUCUCUCCAUUGUAUUGCCAUUGGCUGAGCAGGGUAUGGGGGGUGGUAAGGUGGAGAUGGGGACAGGCUGUGACCAAUGACUUAAGUGUCAGUAAAACAGCCCAUACCCCUUGCCCGUGGGCAAUAAGUGGCUGCCAUACAAUUCAAGAUGUAGGGAACUCCAUGGGGUCAAGUUAAGACAAGAGUUCUUUUACUGUAGAAACCAUAUUUUGACCCUGUAUCUUCCCCAGCUCUAUCCUGCUCCUGUGGGAUCCUUCUGAGAGCUCUCCCUCAAUUAUUAAAUAUCUUAGGGACUGCUUUUAUGGAACCCUGCCUAAGAUUCAUGCUAGAAGUUAAACCAUUUUCC
rnacentral:lncRNA from 1 species